UGCCAGCAGCCGCGGUAAUACGGAGGGUCCAAGCGUUAUCCGGAUUUAUUGGGUUUAAAGGGUCCGUAGGCGGGAAAAUAAGUCAGUGGUGAGAGCCUGCAGCUUAACUGCAGAACUGCCAUUGAAACUGUUUUUCUUGAGUAUAGAUGAAGUGGGCGGAAUGUAUCAUGUAGCGGUGAAAUGCAUGGAUAUGAUACAGAACACCGAUUGCGAAGGCAGCUCACUAAAGUAAAACUGACGCUGAGGAACGAAAGCGUGGGGAGCGAACAGGAUUAGAUA
rnacentral:rRNA from 1 species